CGGCGGGGAGCAAGGGGCGUAGGCACAAGCCAUAGCUUCUUGUUCUUUGCAGUAAGGCAUUAAUUUGUUUAAGGUGGCAAGGCCUCCUUUUUGUGGAUCCAGGUUGUUGCUGGGGUGUGUCUCCGUGUGUGGCCACCCCGGCGCCCAGAACAGUGUUCACUUCAGCGUGUGGGGCGUUGUUUUCCAGGAGCCACCGUGUGCUGACACCUUGGUGUGCCCACAGCUGUGCAGAAUGAAUCACAGAUAUCAGAGAUAGAACACACCUGUUACUGUCGGUCAUCAGGCUUGGCAUGCAUGUGUUCUAGUUUCCAUUUACAGGACAGUCCAUACCCUUCCUCAGGAGGUUCUGUUCCUUACUUCAUUCAUUCUUUCAGUCAGCCCUGAGUGUCACCUGUCUUCUGGGGAUUUGCUGAGGCCAAGGGGCAGACAAAGAUAGGCAAGUGACUGUCCUGCUCUCAGUUAACUAACUCCCGUUCUCCUGGGAGAGCUACACCACCCGCCGGUAGAGUCACUCUAGGAGGCAAGCACUGGACACAGGCCAGUGAAUCCAUGGAUGAUCACACCACUAAUGGAAUAACUCAUUACUGCUGAGAUAUGCUGGAAGAUUUCUUACAAAAGAUGUCUUUCAGGAAGUUGUAGUCAAGCUGUUGGCUAGCACUGAAAUUAUCUGAAGGUUCUACUGGAGGACAUGCCAGUUCCAAGCCUACUCACAUCAUUGUCUGCAGGCCUCCAUUCCUUGCUCGUUGUUGGCUGGACAUCUUAGUUCCCUACUAGAAUUGUCCUAACCAGCUGCAGAUACCAAAAGUGUGAGUCAUUUGUUGACAAUACACGAUUAUCAAAAUGAAGUCUUUGUGUAAUUGGUUUUAAUUACUACCACCACCCCCAGAAACUGGCUACAAGUGAACUUGUCAUGAGCUUAAAUAGAAGUGAAUGCAGUUUUCUUGACUAAGCCCAAAUACGACUUUAUAAAUGGAAAAAACGGAUCCUAAGAAGUAGCAAUCCGGACUCUGUCUUUUACCUGCAUCUGCCUUUGAAUGGACCUACUGAAGAGCUU